GGGUGAGAAUGAUUACGCUCACACAUGCACACACCUUCCUCACGCAUGCACGGGCUUCAUUACACAUCUGGUUGAGUUUUAUGGAGGAAAGCGGCGUUUGGGGUGGUCCUCGCUCCUCUAACAGGUCCGCCCUGUUAACACGGCGGGCCGCACACAGUCCAUCCCCCGACCCCCCGACCCCCCCUGUGGGGCUGAACCUUAACAUCUUAACAUCUCAUCCCUGUGCGGUUCAGCUCAGCGCAGCAAACAGCAGCAACAAAGAGGCCCGGCAUCGAACCCCCGGCAGCCGGUGGGACUCGGCAGUUUGACCUUUAGGGUGUUUGUUCAUUUCAUCGCCAAGAGCCAGGUGACCGACAAACAUACAAAUCCUGAAGUGUCAAAAAUGACAAUAUGAGCCCAUUACAAAAAAAAAAAGAUCCGGCCAGUAAUUCCCACAGCGUUGGCUCCAUUUCAUUUGUUUUUGCCACUGUCCCAAACAAUAAAGACAAUAAGAAAAGUGUUGUGAUAUGUGGAAGGGAAUGUAGUAGUAAUGUUAUUUACAAUAGAAUAAUGGAGCCACGUUUAAAAUUGUGCGAGUAUUUAAGUAAUGAUGGAUAUAUUGAUAUUUGAUGAUGUUUAAUGCACAACUUUAGAUAAGAUAGAAAAUAAGACAGCGAGCACUUAAUGUCAAGCCUUUUUUUAAAUGAAAUACAUGAGAGUUCAUAAUUCAUAAAGUGUUUCAGACCAAAUGUCCGCAGGUGAUGAACGGUGCAAUGUAUUCUGUUUGUGUGGAAUCAUCGAGUAAAAUGAGUUAAUCUCAUCGUGUAUGUUUUUCAUCUUCGCUUCUCUUCAUGGCCCGAAUGUGAAAAAACAAACAUGAGGUCCAACUGGAAUCCAGAGCGCUCUGCAUACCGAGACAGAGGUCUGCAAUUCUGUGGCUCCGGGUUCUGCUCGGGGACUUGGCUGUGAAUGCACAGUCUCUGCGGCUGUGGAACACACCAAGAACAGAAACCCCUUUUCCUCCCAGUUCACCUCUGAAUGUCUGGCUUCCCUCGAUCCCCUUCCAGAAACCUUCUUCUUCUUCUUCUUCUUCUUCUUCUCUUCCACUGAAGUAUCAGAGGGUUUUCACUAUUCGGAAGCCUCCCUUUGAUGGGAUCAGGCCAUGUUUGGUCAUGAAUGUGGUUUUGGGCGAACAGACUUAAAUGAAAGGGAAUGAAAACUGACAGGGUGAAAUAUUUGAGGGUGAAGGGCUGAUGCGGUGGAAGGCUUUGGCCAGACCGAUGCAGCCGAUGUAACUGUAACUCCAGGUGUUCUGGUCAUUACAGCUGGAGCUUUGAGGAAAUGAACAACUGUCUGCAUGUCAGUAAUCUCAUAUAAAGGAAGCACAUAUACAGUACGCAAAGUGUGCAUGCACAUAUACUUACAGAGAGAAACUUUACAAUGUAAAGAGAACACCUGGAAGUCUGAACUUAAGCUUCUGAUUGUAUAAUUUAAUUAGCCAGUUGUUUAUAAUGUCAAAAUUAGUUUUGACCCUUGAGGAGGAAAAUCCAUUUCCUUUACAUCCACCCGCUUAGCCUCCCCGUUGAAUCUGGAGGUCUAGACCUGGACUUAAAUCUGGAGGUCUAGAAUUAGACUCCUCUCCAAAGUCACUUUGGGAACUUUAAACACCCCUUCAUGUCUGAUUGGUCUCAGCUCUGCAGCAACUCAUACGAUGCAGCUCCUGCAUUGUGCACGUGUGUAUGUGUGUGUGUGUGUGUGUGUGUGUGUGUGUGUGUGUGUUCAUGUUAUCAAGUGUUCAUGACUGCAUCUUGGACCUAAGUAUCAACAGAUGUUGCGCUGACCUCAGAGGCUUCCUGGAAAGGCAAAUUUGUCAAAAUGAAGCAGGAAAAAGAGAGAGCAGCAGUUUAGGAAAACAAAACCACAAAAUGCACCAAUGCACCAGAAAUUGUAAGCUGAAUGGUGUAACUUUAGAUGCUGAUGUAACAAAAGAACAUAAACACAUCCGGGGGGGGGGGGCAGUUCUUGGAUCGUUGACGCCAAAUUAUUGGAUGUGUGAUCUGAAUCCGCCGCCGCGCUUCACUGCGAUCCACAUUCGCCGCUUAAACACGUCUCCCUUUCUUUUCUUUUCUUUUCUUUUGUUCCGCACCGGAAGCAAUCACGCUAUCUCUGACAAGCGGCCUGACCACAUGAUAUCACCUCUCAAGGAAAACAAGAGGAAACGCGUGCCAGUUACUCUCACAUGUGAUCAAUUAUUUUAUGCUGAGGUCCGGCUGGG
ensembl:lncRNA